rnacentral:rRNA from 1 species
AGGCAGGGGAGUAUUG